UAUAUAUAUAAUGAUUUAUUUUUAACAAAAUCCUGGCGCGGGGAAUUCACCUAGUUCACUCUUAUUUUCUUGCAUUUACUUUGUAUUUGCAGUUGCCCAUACGAAUGAGUUCCAAAAAUGUGGUUUACCUCAUUCACAUAUUCUGAUGUGGAAAUCCAAUAGUACACAGGCCUCUGCUGCCUUAGUUGAUCAGUAUAUCUCGGCUGAACUACCAGAUCCUAUUAUUAAUCCUCUUGGGUUUCCCUUGGUGCAAGUGUUCUUGGUGCAUGGUCCAUGUGGUCCAUUGCAGCCAAAGAGUCCUUGCAUGAAAAGCAAUAUAUGUUCCAAGAGAUAUCCUAAGCUAAUAUUGCAGCCUGAGACAACUUUUGAUUUAGAUAUCCUAAGCCAAUAUUACAGCCUGAGCCAUGGCCGGGGCGGAGGCAGCCGUGGCGGGAGCGGUGCGCUGUGUCCGGGAGCGGAGGGCGGGCGGCGCUGCGGCAGGGAGCGAAGGUGGAGGUGGGCAGCCGGAGGCAGGGAAGCCGUGGCCGGGCGGAGGCGGGCAUGGCUGGGGGCGGCGUGGCUGGCUUGUUGCGGCCGGGGGCGUUGCCGAAGAUUGGUCCCGUGUAACACCCAAAAUUUGAUUUCCAUAAAUAGGAUUUAAUUUGAUUUAUUUAAAUAUUUUUGAGAGCAUUUCAAUUAGUAAGUAAAUAUUUUUUGUUGAAAUUAAAAUUUAUUAUAAGGUUAGAAACUUGUUUAUGCAUUCAUGCUGGAUCAUAUUUUAUUUUCAUUUUUGUACUGUGCGUUGUUUUAGUUUUAAUUGAAUUCAAACCUUUUUUUAAAAAAUGCUUUGGAAAAGGAAUAAAAAAGGAGGGAAAUUCCUUCCUUGGAACUGGCCGAAGGCCUGCCCACCCCCUCAUCCCGCUCGCGUGGUCUCAGCCCAGCUCCUCCUCGCCCCAGCCCAACUUGCAGACCAGCCCAGCAGACGGCCCAAGCCGUGCGCGCCCCUCCCCUUCUCUCUCUUCUCUCACCGACAGCUCGACCCCGCACGUCAGCGUCCUUUAUCUUCUUCCUCCUCGCGUAUUCGAGCCGAACGACCGAGAACAGCCAAAAUCCCGAGAACUCUAGGAUUUUCUUGCCCAAGGAAAAAUCUAGUCCCUAUAAAAACCCGUGGCUUUAACCUGCGAUCCCUUUUUCGCAUCUAUUGGUGCGGCUACGCCCUAGCCCUAACAGUUCUCUGCUGCGAAUCUUGCCGAGUCGUUGAACUCCAUUCGCCGCCACGGAUGGAGCUCGGGAUUGCCUCAAAGCUGCCAAGAACUUGACGCCAGGUCUCUUUUCGAGGAGCUCGUCAAUCCGCCAUCUUGUGCUGCCCGUCUCCUCUGAGUCCUAGUCGACUCCGAAUAGGGCCUAGAUGGUGAGAAAUACGUUGGUAAGCAAGGCCAAGUCUUUGACGACCAGCAGAAACAUCAGGAAAGCUUUGAUCAAUGCAAGUAUAACUUGGGACCAACCUUGUUGCCUAUUCACAUUUAAUACAAUAUAUCAUAUGCAUGUGUCCACCUUGACAACCUUAGUAAAAUUAUAGAUGAUUGUUAUCUUGAAUU